rnacentral:rRNA from 1 species
GAUGAACGCUGGCGGCGUGCCUAAUACAUGCGAGUAGAACGCUGAAGCUUGGUGCUUGCACCGAGCGGAUGAGUUGCGAACGGGUGAGUAACGCGUAGGUAACCUGCCUCUUAGCGGGGGAUAACUAUUGGAAACGAUAGCUAAUACCGCAUAAAAGUCGAUAUCGCAUGAUAUUGAUUUGAAAGGUGCAAAUGCAUCACUAAGAGAUGGACCUGCGUUGUAUUAGCUAGUUGGUGAGGUAACGGCUCACCAAGGCGACGAUACAUAGCCGACCUGAGAGGGUGAUCGGCCACACUGGGACUGAGACACGGCCCAGACUCCUACGGGAGGCAGCAGUAGGGAAUCUUCGGCAAUGGGGGCAACCCUGACCGAACAACGCCGCGUGAGUGAAGAAGGUUUUCGGAUCGUAAAGCUCUGUUGUAAGAGAAGAACGAGUGUGAGAGUGGAAAGUUCACACUGUGACGGUAACUUACCAGAAAGGGACGGCUAACUACGUG